ACCUGGCUGGCCCAGUCUGUAGAGUAUGUGAUUCUUAAUCUCAGGGUUGUGAGUUCAAGCCCCACGUUGGGCG
rnacentral:tRNA from 1 species